UCACCCCAGCUGAACCUCCAGAUAAUGAUGCAGUUGGAACAGGAGGCCAAGCCUUGGGCUAAUCCUUCUUUCUUGAUUUCAUCUUAGCACUUGCCAUCUGACCCAACCCCACGGCAACUUUAUAUUCUGCACGUAUCUGCUCAGGGCUUCCUCUGCGCAGGGACCACGCUCAGUGUUCAAGGUAUAGUAGAGAUAGACAGGCGAUAGCCCCUGCUCUCGUGAAGGUCAACCUUUGAGGAGAAGACAGACAGCAAUAAUUUAAUGAGAGGAUAUCAAACGGGAUGACUGCACUGAAGACAAGAAAACAGGGCAUUCAGGAGGAAAGAACAAAAUGAAUAAAGAGGGACAACGCUGGAGACUGAAAGAGACUGAGACGGUUUUGUUCAAAGUCAUUCAUUUUAAAGGAAACAGAACCCGAUCGAGAGAGCAAAGAAGAAAGAAAACUUCAUUACCACCCAAAAUAUGACUGUCCAGGGGAGCCUGGGUGGCUCAGUUGGUUAAGCGUCCCAGCUUUGGCUCAGGUCAUGAUCUCAAGGUUCAUAAGUUCAAGGCCUAUGUGCUGACAGCUCAGAGCCUGGAGCCUGCUUUGGAUUCUGCGUCUCUGUCUGUCUCUCAGCCCCUCCUCCCGCUCUGUCUAUGCCUGUCUCUCAAAAAUAAUAAACAUUAAAAAAAAUUUUUUAAUGAUUGUCUAUAGAAAACCUUAGUGAAUCUAUACUCACAUUUUUUAAAAACAAUAAAAGCAUUCAGCAAUAAAUUGAUAACAAUAUACUAAAAGUCAAUUGUAUGUCUAUGUACUACCAAGGAACUCAGAAAUUUAAUUUUUUAAAAGGUAUAAUUUACAAUAGCAACACAAAAUAUAUGGUUCCUAGAAAUAAAUCUUAUAUGAGAUGUACAGGAUUUUAUGGACAAAUUUUUAAAUUAUUGAAAGCAAUUAAAAAGUUCUAAAAGAGAGAUAUGUUUAUGGGUAGGAUGACUCAAUUACACAUAGGAAUUUUCUUCCCCAAUUGUUGUUUUCUCGCAAUUAAUCUACACAUGAAAAAUGAUUCCGAUAAAACAUACAAUGGGAUUGUGUGUAUGUGACACCUGUCAAGCUAAUGCUAGCAUUUAUGAAGAUGAAAAAGCCAGGAGUAACUACAGAAAGAUGCUUUCCCUCAGCGGUAACCAGAGACCAUAAUGAAAUAUCACCGACACGCAUCAGACUGGCAAAAAUGCUGAAGUGUGACAAUAUCGAGAAUCGCGUGAGGAUCCAGAGUGUGGGAACCCUUGCGUUCUCCUGAUGAGCUCACGGUGGCUUUCCCACUGUCACUGUCAGAGCAGUAUGGAACACUUAGGAAAAGUGAAGGCACUCAGGUCCAGGAUGCAGCUGUUUUACUCCUGAGCGUGCACAGCCUAGAGAAAACUCUGGUCCCAGAACCAUGUUCCACAAUGUUCCCAGCACACUGCGAGGAAAUAAAACACUGUCCUACAGACAGGCAACUUCAGAGACAGUUAAGUUUCACUUCUAGGUGACUGGUACAAAGGCAUCUUUCACACUCGUUUUAAAGACAGAGUGUGAUGAGAGAUAUGGCAAAUCUAAACAGGGAAAUCGGGAUGAAUUUCAGAACUUGUGACAUCAUAUUUUAGAGCAGGUAAAGCCUGGGAGAGAGCCAGUCUCCAGACCACAUGAGGGAGACAUCGAUCGCUUUCCUUAGGAGCACUUGCGUCCUCUCCUUGACCUAAGAAGUGAUCAGCACCUGACUUGAGUUACUGCACCUCCUUUCUCUUCCCCCGGCCAGGCCACACUGUCACUUCGUGGGUGUGACCGACAAGUUGACACUGACCUCAGGCCUCACCUU